AGUUAUAUAGCAGUCACCCCUUAGGAAGUGACGCGUCACAGUUGCUAUCAAGGCCAAUUACAAGUCGAAAAUGUGAGAUGAGUCUCGAGUGAGGCAAGGUUAUACGGUGGGGAGAGGGUUAUACGGCUGACUUAGGGUUAUACAGCGGGGAGAGGGUUAUACAACGAGGGAAGCGAGGAUCUAAUACUAAUGGAUGUUGCGAGUAAAGCACGGCUUCCUUACAAGGUCGGUUAAUGCUAGCGAGAUGACUCUCUCAUUGCUUGAUACUUGUAAUUUUGAGCUUGACGAGGACAUCAGGGCUUAAAAGAGGAAAGAAUAUGAGAUCUCAAGUAGUCUUAUAUAUAAAAUAUAAUAAGACUUGAAACUAUUAGCAUUUUAGGUAGUGACUAAUCCCAAAAGGUUAAGAGAAUUAAACGUGUUAGGGCUAAAAUAGUGCUAGGAUGAGUGAUCCCUUGGGAACAGGGGCGU
rnacentral:lncRNA from 1 species